AAAGAACGCAGUUUUGCGUUUUUGUGUCUAACGUUUGACCGUUUGUCUUAUUUGAAAAUUUUUUAUGAUUGUUAUUUUUAUUAUUAUUAGAUGAUAAACACGAAUAGUAAUUUAAGCUUGACUAAUUUUGUUAAUUUUUUUUAAUACAUUUUUCAAAUAAGACGAACAGUCAAACAUUGGAUACGGAAACCCACAAUUACACUUAAA
rfam:Oryza punctata chromosome 4, whole genome shotgun sequence.